ACAUCUGUACUGAUGACUUAGAAAAGAAAAGCUAUUUCCAGGGCAGUCAUGUGUUUUGGGAGAACUGUAACUACCACAUCCACUAAAAACCUGGAGUUGAGUAAAAUCCUGUGUGUUUCUGUGACUAAAUUCAAGUUUCCAAGACAAAAUUUUUCUGGUAGCCCUGACUGUCUUAGAACUUUCUCUGUAGACCAGAGAUAUGCCUGCUUUUGCCUUUAAAAAAGAAGAAAUUGGCACUGUGAGAGGCCAUGGAAGGCAUUUGGUGAAGGUGCCACUUCAGUUGCAGUUGAUAGCCUAGGACUGAAGGGGUCAUGCAAAGGAUUUGAGACUUGGCACCAUGAAGAAAGCCUGUGAGAGGCUAUUGGUGAAGCCUAGUUGCAGUGAGAAACCCCAGCAUAUUAGAGAUGCCAGUACCAUGGGAUGACCACCAGGAACAGCAGCCACAAUGCACUGGAGUCCACCAGAGCCUAGAGAAAUGCAGAAGGCAGAGCUGAAGUGAGAAGCCCAGAAGAUCAUGUGUGGGUCUCAGACAUUGUAACAAGGAGCUGUGAAGCUGAUGCUGGCUUGGGGACCCCAAGAUGUUAGAGACAUCAGAGCUGUGGGGUAUCUGCCAAGGAAAGCUGCUAACAGGGGAGUGGAACCAGCCCAGGAGAAAGAAGUUUGUUGCAGUCUACAAAGAUAAAAAAGGAGUUGGAGAUCUGAAGACUGCUUUGACAUCAGACAUGAGAUGCAGAGUUUGGAAUUUGCCCAGCUGGUUUCCUGUCAAGCUUUGGGGAUUAUAGCUAAGUGAUUGGAUGAAUCUCAGAAGAGACUUUGUCCUUUGGACUUUUAACAAUGUUGAGACUACUUUAGACUACGGGGACUUUUGAAGUUGGGCUAAACGUAUUUUGCAGUAUGCUAUGUUUAGAAAUGGUCCCCAGAGACUCAUAUGUUUGAACAAGCCUAUGGGGGCCAGGGAGUGGAAUAUGGUGGUUUGAGUAUGCCUAGCCUAGGAAGUGGCACUAUUUGGAGGUGUGACCUUGUUGGAGUAGGUGUCUCACUGUGAGUGUGGGCUUUAAAACUCUUAUCCUAGCUGCCUGGAAGUCAGUCUUCUCUUAGCAGCCUUCAGAUGAAGAUGUAGAAUUCUCAGCUCUGCCUGCACCAUGCUUCCCUGGAUGCUGCCAUGUUUCCACCUUGAUGAUAAUGGGCUGAAACUCUGAACCUGUAAGCCAGC
rnacentral:lncRNA from 1 species